rnacentral:rRNA from 1 species
CCUACGGGGGGCUGCAGUGGGGAAUAUUGGACAAUGGGAGCAACCCUGAUCCAGCCAUGCCGCGUGUGUGAAGAAGGCCCUCGGGUUGUAAAGCACUUUCAGUGAGGAAGAACGCCUGGUGGUUAAUACCCAUCAGGAAAGACAUCACUCACAGAAGAAGCACCGGCUAACUCCGUGCCAGCAGCCGCGGUAAUACGGAGGGUGCGAGCGUUAAUCGGAAUUACUGGGCGUAAAGCGCGCGUAGGUGGCUUGAUAAGCCGGUUGUGAAAGCCCCGGGCUCAACCUGGGAACGGCAUCCGGAACUGUCAAGCUAGAGUGCAGGAGAGGAAGGUAGAAUUCCCGGUGUAGCGGUGAAAUGCGUAGAGAUCGGGAGGAAUACCAGUGGCGAAGGCGGCCUUCUGGACUGACACUGACACUGAGGUGCGAAAGCGUGGGUAGCAAACAGGAUUAGAUACCCUUGUAGUC